rnacentral:rRNA from 1 species
UACGGGGGGGGCAAGCGUUGUUCGGAAUUACUGGGCGUAAAGGGCGCGUAGGCGGUGCUCUAAGUUAGAUGUGAAAACUCUGGGCUCAACCCAGAGCCUGCAUCUAAAACUGGAGUGCUAGAGUUCUGGAGGGGGUAGCGGAAUUCCUGGUGUAGCGGUGAAAUGCGUAGAUAUCCGGAGGAACACCGGUGGCGAAGGCGGCUUCCUGGACCGACACUGACGCUGAGGCGCGAAAGCUAGGGGAGCAAACGGG